AACUUUCAGCAACGGAUCUCUUGGCUCUCGCAUCGAUGAAGAACGCAGCGAAAUGCGAUAAGUAUGUGAAUUGCAGAAUUCAGUGAAUCAUCGAAUCUUUGAACGCACCUUGCGCCCCUUGGCUAUUCCGAGGGGCAUGCCUGUUUGAGUAUCAUG
rnacentral:rRNA from 1 species